AAAAGAACAAAUGCAUGAAGGCAAGCAAUCUUGUCAAUGACGUACACUAUCAAAAUUGACAGUUUGUCUUGGGCUCAAUCAUACUAUGGUUACAAUUAAGUUCAUGUUCGGAGGGCUGGAUCAAAUGGUUAACACAAAGGUUUGCAUAGCAUGCUCUUAAUGAUAUCAAGUAAACAGGGAGAUACCACACCGAGUACAUAGAAGAAAAACUCACCAAAUAACAAGCAAUACAAUAAUAGCUAUGAAUCUCAAACAAAAUAAUACACAAA